CCUGAGAGCAGUAAAGAAAAGCUACGUUAGCUUAGCUUAGCUUAGCUUGAAAGUUUUCCCUUUAGGCUAGUGUUGCUCCUUACGUCUUGUAAGGGCCGUUCGUUAGUUGUCGGGGGCAGGGAGUGGUGCAAAAUGUCGGAGACAGCGAGAGCCCUUCCUGAACAAACCAGCCACAGAGACCAGCCUGCACAGCACAGCAGACCAGCACAAACAGCCAGCUCCCAGGGCCUCUCAGUAUGUGGAGUGAGAUGGACGUGAUGAUGGAGAGGGCCACUGUUUGGAAAAUGGAGGUGAGGGGUAGCUGCAGACGACACACCGCGUCCCCCGGCUGUCCCAAGAAGAGCACCAGACUGAGGCAAGC